AUGACCCACAAGCCAGCUUUCCCGUGUAGUGUGGGACACUCUAGGUUGGCUCCUAGAGCCCCCUGGGUCGCUCAGAGCAGACCUCAUCAUGCUGCUUAUCAAACUGAUCGUGUGAAGACUCUUCAAUGCACCAUAAAGGAUUACAGCUCCCCUGUGACUCAAGCUCAAUCCACUCAGAUACCCUGCAGCUCUACUCCAACCCCUGGACUCAGAUGGAGCUCGGGGACUCAGACUGCACCAUGUGAUACAGGGUUUGACUUCCCAGUGGCUUCCUGGAGGAAUUGGGUAACAUAAUUUAGAGGAAUGAGACAGUUAAUGCCCAUUGAAAGGAACUUGAACAGUGAGAGAAAGGAGGUAGGAAGGAUUAAUAGAAUGAACUUUCCCACUUCCUGCUCUCCAAGACCAUCUUGAGACAUGGUGCUUCGACCUAGCCUGUCCAGAAGCUGCUCUCUAUGAUGAGCAAUGGGGUGUUCUUGAUGCACCCAGCAAUCCACUGCUUUUCUCGUGCUUCUCUCUCUGACCUGCCUUCACUUUCUCUUCUCACUCUGGCUGUACUGGAACUGCACGACUCAUUAAGACUAGUUUGUAAGCUGAACCCACACUCCUGAGCAAGCAGACACCCAUUACUGAACUAAACCAAGUGCUCCCCAGUGACAAAGUGUUCCAAGCCCGAAACCUGAGUAACGCCCUAGGUUGCUCUUUCCUUAUGCUUCUCCCAUCCUGUCAGCUACCAAAGGAUUUUUGGUCCCAAUUCCUAAAUAACUCGCAAGUCCCUUAUCUCCUAUCCAUUAUCACGCCCCUACCUUAGCUCACUCCCUCGACAUUAUUCACUUGGACUCUUGCAGACCCAAGGAGUAACGCAGUGCUCCUAGGUGUGUCUGCUCUACCUCCAGGCCCUCCCACACACAUUCGCAACCCCAGCCGCUUUGCUUCGAGUCUUCCCUCCUUUCCUUGCUUAGAGCCUCCCGUUGGUUCCUGUCACUGUCCUGGAGGAUAAAAUCCAUAUUUGUUAGAAUAAAGGCCUUUAAGACCUGCCCUCCUGAGAAUCACUUUAUGUCACUCCCUUCCCCACCUCCCGCCUUCACCUCACCCAUGAGAACUGCUACAGGGCAUGGGCCACUCCCAGUCUCUUCUUCUCCACCGUUCCAGCCAGGCUUUCCAGAAGCAAAUACUGACAUGAGGUUUGGGGUGAAAGCCAUUUAUCAGGGAUAGCAUGUUCAGAGAAAAUAUAGCAUACCUAGUUAAAUUAAAUUUCAUAUCGAUGAAGAAUACCUCUUUAAAAUGUAAGUAUGUCCCAUACAAUAGCUGAAAAAUAAUUAACACCAAAAAUGAUUCAUUGUGUAUCUGAAAUUUAAAUUUAACUUGGCACUCUGUAUUUUUAUUUGCUAAAUCUGGCAGCUCUGACUAGGAAUCAGUAUCUGUGAAGGGAGGAGGGAGGAAGCAGAAUUGGGCCAAGGCAGAACUUUGUCAUAAUGCAGGGCUGGCAAGUCCCGGCUACUCCACAGGGAGCUCUGGAGACACUGUCCCCAGCAGGGUGGUCAGAAUUAGGUCAAAAAGUCAGGCCUGUGCCCCUGCCUUGCUCUGUCGCCCUGGGAAUGGUGUGCAGAGCACACCAGGGAUUGGUGUACAAAGCACACCAGGAAUGGCCUGACUGUGCGUGGUAGCUCUCAGAAGCUCGUGCCAGCCUGGAGGAGCCAGCAGCGUCCGAUGGCCACACUCUGCAGCUGGCUUGCAGGGGGGUCUGGACAGCAGACCUGUGCACCCAUCACGCCUAGCUUCUCUCUGCUUUCUCCUAAGAUUUCUUUCCUAUCAGUCAUUUAAAUAAAGGAGAACCCUCCUCUGACUCUGUGCCUUGCACACCAUGAAUCACUCCCCUUCCUUGCUCCCUCUGGACAUGCUUCAAGUGCCCCCUUUUUCUCUGAGUUACUCGUCUGCCUGUGAUACCUUCCCUGCCCGGUGCUUGAGCUCUUCCAUAGGCUCUACUGUGUC
rnacentral:lncRNA from 1 species